rnacentral:rRNA from 1 species
GACGAACGCUGGCGGCGUGCUUAACACAUGCAAGUCGAACGGAAAGGCCCUGCUUGCAGGGUACUCGAGUGGCGAACGGGUGAGUAACACGUGGGUGAUCUGCCCUGCACUUCGGGAUAAGCCUGGGAAACUGGGUCUAAUACCUGAUAGGAGCCAUUUUUAGUGUGAUGGUUGGAAAGUUUUUUCGGUGUAGGAUGAGCUCGCGGCCUAUCAGCUUGUUGGUGGGGUAAUGGCCUACCAAGGCGGCGACGGGUAGCCGGCCUGAGAGGGUGGACGGCCACCUUGGGACUGAGAUACGGCCCAGGCUCCUAAGGGACGCAGCAGUGGGGAAUAUUGCACGAUGGGCGCAAGCCUGAUGCAGAGACGCCGCGUGGGGGAUGACGGCCUUCGGGUUGUAAACUCAUUUCGCUAGGGACGAAGCUUUUUGUGACGGUACCUAGAUAAGAAGCACCGGCUAACUACGUG